rnacentral:rRNA from 1 species
GACGAACGCUGGCGGCGUGCUUAACACAUGCAAGUCGAACGCUGAAGACCUGGCUUUUGUUGGGUUGGAUGAGUGGCGAACGGGUGAGUAACACGUGAGUAACCUGCCCUCUUCUUUGGGAUAACGCCCGGAAACGGGUGCUAAUACUGGAUAUUCACUGAUCUUCGCAUGGGGGUUGGUGGAAAGGUUUGUUCUGGUGGGGGAUGGGCUCGCGGCCUAUCAGCUUGUUGGUGGGGUGAUGGCCUACCAAGGCUUUGACGGGUAGCCGGCCUGGGAGGGUGACCGGUCACAUUGGGACUGAGAUACGGCUCAGACUCCUACGGGAGGCAGCAGUGGGGAAUAUUGCACAAUGGGCGAAAGCCUGAUGCAGCGACGACGCGUGAGGGAUGGAGGCCUUCGGGUUGUAAACCUCUUUCGCUCAUGGUCAAGCCGCAACUGUGGGUUGUGGUGAGGGUAGUGGGUAAAGAAGCGCCGGCUAACUACGUG